UCAAACUUGGUCAUUUAGAGGAAGUAAAAGUCGUAACAAGGUUUCCGUAGGUGAACCUGCGGAAGGAUCAUUAUUGAAUUAUGUUUCUAAAUGGGUUGUAGCUGGCUCUUUGGAGCAUGUGCACACCUGUUUAGACUUCAUUUUCAUCCACCUGUGCACCUUUUGUAGUCUCUUGGUUUAGGUAUCGAGGAAGUGGUCAGCCUUAUCAGCUUAUGCUGGAUAUGAGAACUUGCAUUGCGAAAGCUUUGCUGUACUCUACUUGGCCACGGAGUCGUUUACUUGCCAGAGUCUAUGUUAUUCAUUAUACCCUGUCGAAUGUCAUUGAAUGUCUUUACAUGGGCUUCCAUGCCUAUGAAAAUUGUAAUACAACUUUCAGCAACGGAUCUCUUGGCUCUCGCAUCGAUGAAGAACGCAGC
rnacentral:misc_RNA from 1 species